AUUGAACGCUGGCGGCAGGCUUAACACAUGCAAGUCGAGCGAGCGGCGGACGGGUGAGUAAUGUCUGGGAAACUGCCUGAUGGAGGGGGAUAACUACUGGAAACGGUAGCUAAUACCGCAUACCUUCGGAUGUCCCCAGAUGGGUUGAGCUAGUAGGUGGGGUAAUGGCUCACCUAGGCGACGAUCCCUAGCUGGUCUGAGAGGAUGACCAGCCAUACGGGAACUGAGACACGGUCCAGACUCAUACGGGAGGCAGCAGUGGGGAAUAUUGCACAAUGGGCGAAAGCCUGAUGCAGCCAUGCGGCGUGUAUGAAGAAGGCCUUCGGGUGGUAAAGCACUGUAAGCGAGGAGGCGUUACUCGCAGAAGAAGCACCGGCUAACUCCGUGCCAGCAGCCGCGGUAAUAC
rnacentral:rRNA from 1 species